rnacentral:rRNA from 1 species
CCCCUAGAUGUUCUGGGCCGCACGCGCGCUACACUGAACAGUUCAACAAGUCUUAACCUUGGCCGAUAGGUCUGGGUAAUCUUUGAACGCUGUUCGUGAUUGGGAUAGACCUUUGCAAUUAUGGGUCUUCAACGAGGAAUUCCUAGUAAACGCAAGUCAUCAGCUUGCAUUGAUUACGUCCCUGCCCUUUGUACACACCGCCCGUCGCACCUACCGAUUGAAUGGUCCGGUGAAAUCUCGGGACGGCGGCUUGGUCGCUUGCGUCCGACUGCUGAAACUUGAUUAAACCAUAUCAUUUAGAGGAAGGUUAANUCGUAACA